rnacentral:rRNA from 1 species
AUUGAACGCUGGCGGCAUGCCUUACACAUGCAAGUCGAACGGCAGCACGGGAGCAAUCCUGGUGGCGAGUGGCGAACGGGUGAGUAAUAUAUCGGAACGUGCCUGGUCGUGGGGAUAACGUAGCGAAAGCUACGCUAAUACCGCAUACGAUCUACGGAUGAAAGCGGGGGAUCGCAAGACCUCGCGCGAUUGGAGCGGCCGAUAUCAGAUUAGGUAGUUGGUGAGGUAAAGGCUCACCAAGCCGACGAUCUGUAGCUGGUCUGAGAGGACGACCAGCCACACUGGGACUGAGACACGGCCCAGACUCCUACGGGAGGCAGCAGUGGGGAAUUUUGGACAAUGGACGCAAGUCUGAUCCAGCCAUUCCGCGUGCAGGAUGAAGGCCCUCGGGUUGUAAACU